GGAUGUGAGGGCGAUCUGGCUGCGACAUCUGUCACCCCAUUGAUCGCCAGGGUUGAUUCGGCUGAUCUGGCUGGCUAGGCGGGUGUCCCCCUCCUCCCUCACUGAUCCAUGUGCGUCCCUCCCGAAGCUGUGCGCUCGGUCGAAGAGGACGACCUUCCCCCCCGAGGAGAGGACCGGUCUUCGGUCAAGGGUAUACGAGUAGCUGCGCUCCCCUGCUAGAACCUCCAAACAAGCUCUCAAGAAAAACAAAGUAUAUAAAAAUUUGAAAGCAAGAGCAAAUCUUAUAAUAUUUCAGAUGAAUAUUUUCAUCUAAAGUCUAAGUUAUUAGAAUUUAAA
ensembl:misc_RNA 7SK 7SK RNA